rnacentral:rRNA from 1 species
GUUGUAUAGUCAAGUAAUUAAGUGCAUGUGGUGGAUGCCUUGGCAGUCAGAGGCGAUGAAAGACGUGAUAGCCUGCGAAAAGCUCCGGGGAGGCGGCAAAUAUCCUUUGAUCCGGAGAUGUCUGAAUGGGGGAACCCACCUACUUUAAGGUAGGUAUUGCAACAUGAAUACAUAGUGUUGCAAGGCGAACGAGGGGAAGUGAAACAUCUCAGUACCCUUAGGAAAAGAAAUCAAUUGAGAUUCCCUCAGUAGCGGCGAGCGAACGGGGAUCAGCCCAU